rnacentral:lncRNA from 1 species
UAUGAUUGACAUCUUCUAUUGAUUUUAAAGUGCUUUUGCUCGCUUACAAGGUCCUCAGUAACACACUCAUGGCCUGCCUUUCAAAGCUGACUUUUCACUUACGCAUCCCAAAGAGUAUCUGCUCAUUUGCUGAGACAUUCAUAUUCAUCACAACCUGGAAACAGUUAAGGCUUGAGCUUUAUGCCCUAUGGCUUUGAAAUCAUCGCUCUCCUUAUAGACAGAAUACUGAAUCUGCUUUUUUUCCUCUUUGAAUUUGAAAGCAAAUUCUGCAGUGGCUGAUAUUCUCCCAGGACUUUAGACCUCGAUACACAAGUACCAAGUAGUGAGCUGUGAGAGCCAGAGAGCACUGGAGUCCUUAUUUAUCCCUUACUCAGGUACCCAAGAUGCAAAGAAGAAUAAGAUUCAUCUUACCCUUUGUGUAUCCUACACAUUAGCAGUAGGUGCACACUUCCUCCACUGGCUCCUGCUGCAGUGAGACACCAUACGAAGGCGUGAUAAAGAUGCUAAAAGGGAGAAAAGCAAAUAAAUGGAAGAAAACAGGCUGUACCCUAAAUGGCAGAGGUAGUGAGGAUACAAAAAUGGAGAAACAAGCAAGUGGAAACAAAAGGAAGGGAGAAUUUCAGCCAAGAUUGAAAAUAUGACAGAUUAACAUGUGUGCUGUAAUGGAGAAACCAUCCAGUAACAAAUGACAAAAGAAAAUCCUCAUGAACCCAUGUACUGGAUUCCUCUGUUCUCCUUUAAAGACUAGAAAAAUAGAUCUGCUUUCCCAGCCUUUAACCCCAAAGAGUGGAAGAAUAAAUAGCUCAGAGGCCAGGGACUAUACCUAAGAGUCUCAAGUUAAUUUCAUUGCUUUGUCACAGGCUUCCUGUAUAGCCCAGGAAACCCAGUUCCUUUAGUUGUGCUCCAGUCCAGCAGCAGUGAAGUGAUACAAUUGCUUCCUUACCUCCAAAGAAUGUGACAACACAUGUUAUGAACUGCAGAGCUGAUGGAUGUGGGCAAGGACCAAAGUAUGUGUGGUGGGAUUAUGACACUAGUCCCUUGCUAUUUGCUUGCAACUUCUUCUUGUUGAUCAGAACAAGCAGGUAAGAAUGGAAAGAAGGAAGCAAGGAUGGGACUUUGGGAGAAGAUGCUGGGACGUUUCAUCUUGAAACACUGUCACUGUCAGUGCAGGAACCUCCUCUUGUAACUCAUACUUGAAAAGGGGUUUUUUUCCCCCAUCUCCAUGCAGAUGGUCAGACUGGACUCACUGAUUCCUAAAGGCUGUGUUUCACUCUAGCUGUCUGCCAUGUAAUGUGAAUUAAUGCCAGCCCUCAGUGACUCUACUUUUAUUUAUACUCUCCAGGGGUUAGUGGCUUAUAGGAUUAUAGAGUUGAAUGCAACUAAGUAAAGCAGAGUAAGAAAUCAUGCUUUUACUAAUCCUGAGAAAUGCUUAUACAGCUGCAUGUUUCUACUUCUUUUACACUAAACAUUGUUUUAUUGAUGCUUAUUGCAGUAUUUUCCUGGGUAAUUAUUCAGACAAUGGAAGGCACCUCCCUUUUGUAUUUAAUUGUAUUUAUAUUACUUGUUUACUGCUGGCAAAUACUUUUAUAGAUGAAAGCAGACAAAAGCACUAGAUGAAUCAAUCAGGGAAGACAGGAGAAAUGUGUAUUAGCAGCAAUCUGCUGGGUUUUAAAAACUGGGACAAACAAGAACUUGAUGCUUUCUGCUUACACUCCCUCCUGUUAGUGCACACGAACACCCACAGUAUUGCAAACAGAACUUGUCUUUGCUUCCAGGACUUUAUAGAAUGAACAGACCUAUUGGGUUAGCUGAAAGGAGGUCACACCGGGAGAGGAAAGGCUGUGGUGGCCUCUGCAAGAUGACCAAAUAUGCAACAUGGGUUCCUGGAGUUUUCAACUACCCUUGGCUUAAGUAAUCCGUAGUCAACAGACUUCCUAACAAAUGUUGUUGUGAAAUACAGCCUUCGCACCAUAAGAAAGUUGAUCUUUUUGCAGAUUUUGGAAAUCUCAGCCAUUGCAGCUUCUCUUUAAUACUUUGACUUCUUAAAUCUAAUUUUUAGGCUUCGUGCAAAUGUUCCAUUGGGGUCAGUCUCACAGCUCAUGCCCAUCUCUAUUAUUUCCAAGUUGUUAGUAUUAAGUUCUGUUGUGUUUGCAGACAUGUUACCUUUGCAUUACCUACCUUUUAAAAAGUAGCCUUUAUAGCUGCAAAAAAGCUUCCUUGGGUUGAUGUAAUGUUAAAUUAGGGAGAAAUUUAUUGCAUCAGUGAGAAAUCAUUGCCCCAGCA